GUCCCUUUGAGGACAUCCAAUAAAAUUACAACGAUAUAAAAAAGAUUAUCAUGGUCCAUACUUAAGGAUUGACACGUACAAUUCGAAAAACUGUCCAAGUUUUU